UCUAACAUAUAACUUUUCACACUGCGUUUUUCUUUAAUUCUAAUAUGUGCGUAUGCUGCUACUAAAAAUCCAAACGCAAGUGUAGACCAUUUUUUACGCAUUUGUCGUCACUCCUCUUUGAUGAUUUCUACUAUAGUUCUACUGUACCAUGCUGAUUCUUAUUACUACCAAUAUUUACUGGGAAAUAAGUUAUGAUGUCUACAUAAUCUUAGCAAUGCUAAUCAUUUGCGAUAUUAAUGCUCAUCGACAUCGUUAUUU
rnacentral:sRNA from 1 species